UAGUAAACAAAGCAGGUCUGCGGAGAGUUCACCCCGUGUCACGGUGCUCCCUGCUAUAGUGUGUUACUGGUGUUAUAAUGGGCGGACUGGUGGCCCAGGUAUCUCUGUGUGUUUCCGACAGGCUCACACAGGUAUACUAGUCAGGCAGGUUUGGACGGGAAGCCCUUUUGUUCACUUUCUUUUUUAAAGGCGAUGUAGGCUUUUGGAGAGUUAACAUGAAGACAGUCACACCUGUAGCGCUUCUACACAUGUGUUUAUGUGUGACAGCUGCAGUUUCGGGUAGUGGCUCAACCGAAACGGCCCUGACAGCCGAAAAGGGAGACGUUGCUAUACUUCCGUGUUACACCCACGGUAACGUAACACCGACUUUAACGUCAUGGAUAAAAAACGGAAAAGAAGUUGUCAAAGGUAGCAUUUAUUCGCCGAGCCCUUCCCUCGGUGGACAGCGCCUCGCAGUGCUGCAUGACGGGAGUCUGAACAUCCGGGCAGUGUUACCUAGGGAUGAGGGCACCUACCUGUGCAGCUCCACGCUACCAGGCAACAACACCUUUCACGCACGUGUCCUGCUACAAG